rnacentral:rRNA from 1 species
UACGAAGGGAGCUAGCGUUGUUCGGAAUCACUGGGCGUAAAGCGCACGUAGGCGGAUGUGUCAGUCAGGGGUGAAAUCCCGGAGCUCAACUCCGGAACUGCCUCUGAUACAGCACGUCUUGAGUCCGAUAGAGGUGGGUGGAAUUCCUAGUGUAGAGGUGAAAUUCGUAGAUAUUAGGAAGAACACCGGUGGCGAAGGCGGCCCACUGGAUCGGUACUGACGCUGAGGUGCGAAAGCGUGGGGAGCGAACAGG